GAUGAACGCUAGCUACAGGCUUAACACAUGCAAGUCGAGGGGUAACGAGAGGAAAGCUUGCUUUCCUUGUCGACGACCGGCGCACGGGUGAGUAACGCGUAUCCAACCUGCCCCCAACUAGGGAAUAACCUUGCGAAAGUAAGACUAAUACCCUAUAAUUUCCUCAGAUGUCAUCUGACGAGGAAUAAAGAUUUAUCGGUUGUGAAUGGGGAUGCGUCUGAUUAGCUUGUUGGCGGGGUAACGGCCCACCAAGGCAACGAUCAGUAGGGGUUCUGAGAGGAAGGUCCCCCACAUUGGAACUGAGACACGGUCCAAACUCCUACGGGAGGCAGCAGUGAGGAAUAUUGGUCAAUGGGCGGAAGUCUGAACCAGCCAAGUAGCGUGCAGGAUGACGGCCCUAUGGGUUGUAAACUGCUUUUAUACAGGAAUAAAGUUAGCCACGUGUGGUUAUUUGUAGGUACUGUAUGAAUAAGGACCGGCUAAUUCCGUGCCAGCCGCCGCAGUAA
rnacentral:rRNA from 1 species